rnacentral:rRNA from 1 species
AGAGUUUGAUCCUGGCUCAGAUUGAACGCUGGCGGCAUGCCUUACACAUGCAAGUCGAACGGCAGCACGGGAGCAAUCCUGGUGGCGAGUGGCGAACGGGUGAGUAAUACAUCGGAACGUGUCCUGUAGUGGGGGAUAGCCCGGCGAAAGCCGGAUUAAUACCGCAUACGAUCUGCGGAUGAAAGCGGGGGCUCCUUCGGGACCUCGCGCUGCAGGGGCGGCCGAUGGCAGAUUAGCUAGUUGGUGGGGUAAAGGCCUACCAAGGCGACGAUCUGUAGCUGGUCUGAGAGGACGACCAGCCACACUGGGACUGAGACACGGCCCAGACUCCUACGGGAGGCAGCAGUGGGGAAUUUUGGACAAUGGGGGCAACCCUGAUCCAGCAAUGCCGCGUGUGUGAAGAAGGCCUUCGGGUUGUAAAGCACUUUUGUCCGGAAAGAAAACCUCCUGGUUAAUACCCUGGGGGGAUGACGGUACCG